rnacentral:lncRNA from 1 species
UCAGCUGCAAUUGAAGAGAGGCUUCUCCAUUUUAAUUUUCUGGGUCUUCUUCCCCAAUUUGAAAAACGAGCAGAACUAAACGGACUUCCCUCGACGAGCUUGAUCUUCUUCAGCAUUGAUCAAACCAGAGCUUGACCCACAGUAACACGCUAGAACAGUUCUCCUUUUCGAAUUAACCAACAACAGAACCCGCAUCCACUCCUGAAAUCACCAGAAAAAAUCCACACAUAGCCAAUAACACGUACAGAAACGAGAGAGGGACAGUAGCAAACUCAUCGAGUUUUUGUGAGCAUGAGAGGCAUGUGAAUCUGGUUUCAUUCUUCGCUUGAUUUAUUAUAGAUAUCACCCAUUCAAUCAGUUUUGAUAUCACGAUGGAGGUACUGAUGGAGUUUGGUUGAUUUUGAGGUCGUCGUCAUGGAUUUUGGUGGUUCUGUCCUUGGCUCGAUUAAUGAGUUGCGGAAGUUCAAAGUUUGAAUUCCUCUUAUGUACAGGUUCAUUUUCUCUAGUCCUAGCAUUUCGAUAUAAUUUUGUAUGUUGCUAAUAUAGAACGAGUUAGUUAUUUGGAUAUAUCUGCUAUUUGUUUGGAUUUGUCGAUUUCGAUUUUAGUAAAUUGAAAGAAUUGAUAUCUAGUUUGUAGUUGAAGUCAUCGUUGUUAUCCAAAAUUAGCUCAUCCGCAGCUACUUGUUUGUACAGAUUUAAUCCUAAAGAAGAGGUAAAAUCUCAUCAAUUUCUAUUGGAAUCUGAUUGUUGCUUAAUUCAGAACUACUGGAAUUUGGUCUUUAACUGUAGAGUGUUUAUGUCGUCUAUUCUGUUGAAAAUGGGAGUCAUGGCUGUUUGUUGAUUUUCGAAACUGCAAAGUAUGACCUUGCCUUUGUCAUUCAAGGUUGGAAGCUAGUGAGUUUUGGAGUGUCAUUGAUUAAUUUGGUGAUAUGAUUCCAUUGUUUGUGUAGUUAUUUUUUAAAGUUUUGAAUUUGCUCAUUUAGUUAUCUAUUCAUAUCCUUGCUCGAAUUGGUUAUAGCUUAACACGAUUUUGUCAAUAUAGAAAUUGGUUUGUUAUUCUUCAAUUGAACUACGUAAUUAGAUUAAUGAACUGGGGGUGCAUUUUAUGUGACUCGGCUCCAAUUCCG